GGCGUAAAGAGCUCGUAGGCGGUGUGUCACGUCUGCCGUGAAAACCUGCGGCUUAACCGUGGGCGUGCGGUGGAUACGGGCAUCACUUGAGUUCGGUAGGGGAGACUGGAAUUCCUGGUGUAGCGGUGGAAUGCGCAGAUAUCAGGAGGAACACCGGUGGCGAAGGCGGGUCUCUGGGCCGAUACUGACGCUGAGGAGCGAAAGCGUGGGGAGCGAACAGGAUUAGAUACCCUGGUAGUCCACGCCGUAAACGUUGGGCGCUAGGUGUGGGGCGCUGUUCACGUGUCCCGUGCCGUAGCUAACGCAUUAAGCGCCCCG
rnacentral:rRNA from 1 species